UCAGGAUGAACGCUAGCUACAGGCUUAACACAUGCAAGUCGAGGGGCAGCAUGUGGUUGCUGCAACAAUGAUGGCGACCGGCGCACGGGUGAGUAACGCGUAUCCAACCUUCCCUGUAGUAGAGAAUAGCCCGGCGAAAGUCGGAUUAAUACUCUAUGUUAUUCAAUGCGGACAUCUAAGUUGAAUCAAAGGUUUACCGCUAUAGGAUGGGGAUGCGUCUGAUUAGGUUGUUGGCGGGGUAACGGCCCACCAAGCCCUCGAUCAGUAGGGGUUCUGAGAGGAAGGUCCCCCACAUUGGAACUGAGACACGGUCCAAACUCCUACGGGAGGCAGCAGUGAGGAAUAUUGGUCAAUGGGCGAGAGCCUGAACCAGCCAAGUAGCCGUGCAGGAUGACGGCCCUAUGGGUUGUAAACUGCUUUUAUACAGGGAUAAAGUCGGGGACGUGUCCCCGUUUGUAGGUACUGUAUGAAUAAGGACCGGCUAAUUCCGUGCCAGCCGCUGC
rnacentral:rRNA from 1 species